rnacentral:rRNA from 1 species
GCUGAAUCUAGCCCAUAAAGGACAAAACAUAACUACGACCCCUAACUAAAACAAAACAUUUACCCCACCUUUAAAAGUAUAGGAGAUAGAAAUUUUAAUCGGCGCUAUAGAGAAAGUACCGCAAGGGAAACAUGAAAGAAGCAAACCAAAGCACCAAACAGCAAAGAUUACCCCUUGUACCUUUCGCAUAAUGCUUUAACUAGAACAACCUGGCAAAGAGAACUUAAGUCAAUGGCCCCGAAACCAGACGAGCUAUUCAUGAGCAGCCCCAAGAGCAAACUCGUCUAUGUAGCAAAAUAGUGAGAAGACUUAUGACUAGAGGUGACAAGCCUACCGAGCCUGGUGAUAGCUGGUUGUCCAGAAAAGAAUAUUAGUUCGACCUUAAGCCUGCCUAACAAAUCUCACAAUUUUACUGUAGGCCUAAGAGAUAGUCUAAAGGGGGGCAGCCCUUUAGACCCAGGAUACAACCUUGCCUAGAGAGUAAAUAUACUAGUAAUCCAUAGUUGGCUUAAAAGCAGCCACCAAUAAAGAAAGCGUUCAAGCUCAACAACUACCCCUCCCCAAUUACAAUAGUAACUAUAAACUCCUAGCACAAAACUGGACCAUUCUAUAAUCAUAUAGAAGAAAUACUGUUAAUAUGAGUAACAAGAAUCUAAUUCUCCUCGCACAAGCCUAUAUCAGAACGGAUAACCACUGAUAGUUAACGCAUGCAAAGCAAGCCUAACCCAAGCCCUUUGCCCCCCCCCCCGUUAGCCCAACACAGGUGUGCCUCAAAGGAAAGAUUAAAGGGAGUAAAAGGAACUCGGCAAACACAAACCCCGCCUGUUUACCAAAAACAUCACCUCCAGCAUUCCCAGUAUUGGAGGCACUGCCUGCCCAGUGACAUACGUUCAACGGCCGCGGUAUCCUGACCGUGCAAAGGUAGCAUAAUCACUUGUUCUCUAAAUAAGGACUUGUAUGAACGGCCACACGAGGGUUUUUCUGUCUCUUACUCCAAAUCAGUGAAAUUGACCUCCCCGUGAAGAGGCGGGGAUGCCACAAUAAGACGAGAAGACCCUAUGGAGCUUUAACUAGUUAACCUAGAAAGACUUUUCACUGCCAAAAGGCAUUAAAUCUCUUUAAACAGGUUAAUAAUUUAGGUUGGGGUGACCUCGGAGUAUAAGACACCCUCCGAGCAAAUACAACUUAGACCUACCAGUCAAAGUCGCAUUAUCACAAUUGAUCCAAAAUUUUUGAUCAACGGAACAAGUUACCCUAGGGAUAACAGCGCAAUCCUAUUCAAGAGUCCAUAUCGACAAUAGGGUUUACGACCUCGAUGUUGGAUCAGGACAUCCUAAUGGUGCAGCAGCUAUUAAGGGUUCGUUUGUUCAACGAUUAAAGUCCUACGUGAUCUGAGUUCAGACCGGAGUAAUCCAGGUCGGUUUCUAUCUAUUCCGUGUUUCUCCCAGUACGAAAGGAUAAGAGAAACAAGGCCUCCUCGUUCCUAAGCGCCUUACAGUUUAACAGAUGACAUAGUCUUAAUCUAACAGACGGCCCCCAUACCACCCCCAGACCAGGGCU